UGGGGAAUAUUGCACAAUGGGCGCAAGCCUGAUGCAGCCAUGCCGCGUGUAUGAAGAAGGCCUUCGGGUUGUAAAGUACUUUCAGCGGGGAGGAAGGCGUUGUGGUUAAUAACCACAGCGAUUGACGUUACUCGCAGAAGAAGUACCGGCUAACUCCGUGCCAGCAGCCGCGGUAAUACGGAGGGUGCAAGCGUUAAUCGGAAUUACUGGGCGUAAAGCGCACGCAGGCGGUCUGUCAAGUCGGAUGUGUAAUCCCCGGGCUCAACCUGGGAACUGCAUUCGAAACUGGCAGGCUAGAGUCUUGUAGAGGGGAGUAGAAUUCCAGGUGUAGCGGUUAAAUGCGUAAAGAUCUGGAGGAAUACCGGUGGCGAAGGCGGCCCCCUAGACAAAGACAGACGCUCAGGUGCGAAAGCGUGGGGAGCAAACAGG
rnacentral:rRNA from 1 species